rnacentral:rRNA from 1 species
UUAUAAUAAAAUUAAAAUAAUUUAAUCAAUUUAAUAAAUUUAUUUUAUUUUUAUUUUAUUUUUAAUAAACUGAAAAGGAAUUUAUUAUUAUAAUUUAAUAGAAAAAUUAAUGUACCUUUUGCAUUAGGGGUUUUUAAAAAAAAUAAAAUUUUAUUUUUCUCGAAAUAUUUUGAGCUAAAAUUUAAUUUUUCUAAUGUUUCAAUAUUAAAAUAAAAUAAAUUUUAGAGGUGAAAUUCUUAUCAAAAAAUAUAAUAUCUAGUUAAAAAAAAUUAAUUAAAUAUUAUUUUGUAAAUAUUAAUUUAUUUUUUAAAACUACAAAAAAAAGUUUUUGGGAUAAGCUAAAAAUUAUUAAAUUUAUAAUAUUUUAAAAAAUAAUAAAAGAAUUAAAAUUUUUCUAUUUAUUUUUAUAAAUAAAUUAAGUUAAAUUGAAAUAAAAGAAUUUAUUUUUUUAAAUUAAAUUUAAUUAAAAAUUUAAAAAAAAAUGAAAAUAUUAGUAAAAAAUUUUUUUUUUAAUUAUUAAUAAUUAAUUAAAAAUUAAUUUAAUUUAAUUUAAUUUUUAAGAACUAGGCAAUUAUUUUUUUUGACUGUUUAAUAAAAACAACGCAUUUAGAUAAACAAUAAAUGCAAAUCCUGCUCAAUGAAAUUUUUUUUAAAUUGCUGUAGUAUUUUGACUAUACAAAGGUAUUGAAAUAAGAUUUUAAUUGAAUGCUAAGAGAAUGGAAUAUCAAAAAACAACUUUCUUAAAAUUAAAAAUUGAAAUUUUUUUAAUUUGUGUAAAAACAAUUAUAAAAAUUAAAGACAAGAAGACCCUAAGAAUUUUUAAAAUUUAAAUAAUACAUUUUUUGUUUUAAUUAAAUUUUAACUGGGGCGGUUAAAAAAUAUUAAAAACUUUUUAAUUUAAAAAUGACCCAUUAUUAAUGAAAAUAUGAUUAAAUACUCUAGGGAUAACAGCGUUAUAUUUUUUGAUAGAUCAUAUUGACAAAAAAGUUUGCGACCUCGAUGUUGGAUUAGGAUACUUUUUUAAUGAAGAUAUUAAAAUAAGAAGUUUGUUCAACUUUUAAAUUCCUACAUGAUCUGAGUUUAGACCGAUGAGAAUCAGGUUGGAUUCUAUCUUAAUAAAAAACAAAUUUUAUUUAGUACGAAAGGAAUUUUAAAAUCUAAUUUUUAGUUUUAUUUAUUUAUUUUAUUUGCAUCAAUUUUUGUAAUU